GGGCCCAUAGCUCAGUUGGCUAGAGCGCCUCGUUUGCACCGAGGAGGUCGCAGGUUCGACUCCUGUUGGGUCCACCA
rnacentral:tRNA from 2 species